rnacentral:rRNA from 1 species
UACGUAGGGUGCGAGCGUUAAUCGGAAUUACUGGGCGUAAAGCGUGCGCAGGCGGUUCGUUGUGUCGGUGGUGAAAGCCCCGGGCUUAACCUGGGAAUGGCCAUGGAAACUGGCGAACUGGAGUGUGGCAGAGGGGGGUGGAAUUCCGCGUGUAGCAGUGAAAUGCGUAGAGAUGCGGAGGAACACCGAUGGCGAAGGCAGCCCCCUGGGCUAGCACCGACGCUCAGGCACGAAAGCGUGGGGAGCAAACAGG